AAACACACAGUGGUGUUACUAUAGAUAGAGGGGAAACAUUGAGUUAUAGAACAGAGCAGUGAACUCUUCCUCAAUAUCACAAUCAGUACGUUGUCAAAACUAAACAUCUAAAUCCAAUUUCAUUUAUCACACACCAAGAAUACAACUGACAGAAAAAUGCUUAAACUUUUAGGUGCAAAGAGUUAUAUAAAAUACACAAGAAUGGAGCAGCAGUUAAAGUCAGAAGUUUACAUACACCUCAGCCAAAUACAUUUAAACUCAGUUUUUCACAAUUCCUGACAUUUAAUUCCCUGUCUUAGGCCAGUUGGAUCACCACUUUAUUUUAAGAAUGUGAAAUGUCAGAAAAAUAGUAAGGAUAAUUAUUUCAGCUUUUAUUUCUUUCAUCACAUUCCCAGUGGUUCAGAAGUUUACAUGAACUCAAUUAGUAUUUGGUAGCAUUGCCUUUAAAUUGUUUAACUUGGGUCAAACGUUUCAGGUAGCCUUUCACAAGCUUCCCACAAUAAGUUGGGUGAAUUUUGGCCCAUUCCUCCUGACCAAAGCUGGUGUAACUGAGUCAGGUUGGUAGACCUCCUGACCAGAGCUGGUGUAACUGAGUCAGGUUGGUAGACCUCCUGACCAGAGCUGGUGUAACUGAGUCAGGUUGGUAGACCUCCUGACCAGAGCUGGUGUAACUGAGUCAGGUUGGUAGACCUCCUGACCAGAGCUGGUGUAACUGAGUCAGGUUUGUAGGCCUCCUUGCACACACAUGCUUUUUCAGUUCUGCUAAAAAUACAUUUUAAAUUCUAUAGGAUUGAGGUCAGUGCUUUGUGAUGGCCACUCCAAUACCUUGACUUUGUUGUCCUUAAGCCAUUUUGCCACAACUUUGGAAGUAUGCUUGGGGUCAUUGUCCUUUGGAAGACCCAUUUGGAGACCAAGCUUUAACUUCCUGACUGAUGUCUUGAGAUGUUGCUCCAAUAUAUCCACAAUUUUCCUACCUCAUAAUGCUAUCUAUUUUGUGAAGUGCACCAGUCCCUCCUGCAGCAAAGCACCCCCACAACAUGCCACACCCGUGCUUCAGGGUUGGGAUGGUGUUCUUUGGCUUGCAAGCCUUCCCUUUUCCCCCCAAACAUAACGAUGGUCAUUAAGGCCAAACAGUUCUAUUUUUGAUUCAUCAAACCAGAGAACAUUUCUCCAAAAAGUACGAUCUUUGUCCCCAUGUGCAGUUGCAACCCGUAGUGUGGCUUUAUGGCAGUGGCUUCCUUGCUGAGCGCCUUUCAGGUGAUGACGAUAUAGGACUCGGUUUACUGUAGAUAUAGAUACUUUUGUACAUGUUUCCUCCAGCAUCUUCAGAAGGUCCUUUGCUGUUGUUCUGGGAUUGAUUUGCACGUUUCACACCAAAGUACGUUCAUCUCUACGAGACAGAACGCAUCUCCUUUGCUCCCAGGGAUGAACCAGACUUGUGACGGUCUACAAUUGGCUGAUUUCUUUUGAUUUUCCCAUGAUGUCAAGCAAAGAGGCACGGAGUUUGAAGGUAAAUCUUGAAAUAUAUCCACAGGUACACCUCCAAUUGACGUCAAUUAGUCUACCAGAAGCUUCUAAAGCCAUGACAUAGUUUUCUGGAAUUUCCCAAACUGUUUAAAAGGCAUAGUCAACUUGUGUACGUAAACUUCUGACCCACUGGAAUUGUGAUAAAAUUCAUUGUAAAAAAAAUAGUUGGAAAAAUGACUUGUGUCAUGCAAAGUAGAUGUCCUAAUCGACUUGCCAAAACUAUAGUUUGUUAACAAGAAAUUUGAGUGGUUGAAAAACGAGUUAAUGACUCCAACAUAAGUGUAUGUAAACUUCCCGAAUUCAACUGCAUAUACAGGGAGUACCAGAUCACUGUGGAGUCAAACGUUUCACCUUUAUUUAUUUAUCAUAGUAGAAAAUAACAAUGGAAUCACGUAGUAACCAAAGUGUUAAAUUCAAGUAUAUUUUAUAUUUGAGAUUCUUUAAAGUCGCCACCCUUUGCCUUGAUGACAGCUUUGCACACUCCUCAUAAGGUAUUAGAGGUAGAUAUGUACAUGAAGGCAGGGUAAAGUGACUAGACAUCAGGAUAGAUAAUAAUAAGGUAUUUGAGGUAGAUAUGUACAUGAAGGCAGGGUAAAGAGACUAGACAUCAGGAUAGAUAAUAAUAAGGUAUUAGAGGUAGAUAUGUACAUGAAGGCAGGGUAAAGUGACUAGACAUCAGGAUAGAUAAUAAUAAGGUAUUUGAGGUAGAUAUGUACAUGAAGGCAGGGUAACGUGACUAGACAUCAGGAUAGAUAAUAAUAAGGUAUUUGAGGUAGAUAUGUACAUGAAGGCAGGGUAAAGUGACUAGACAUCAGGAUAGAUAAUAAUAAGGUAUUUGAGGUAGAUAUGUACAUGAAGGCAGGGUAAAGUGACUAGGCAUCAGGAUAGAUAAUAAUAAGGUAUUUGAGGUAGAUAUGUACAUGAAGGCAGGGUAAAGUGACUAGGCAUCAGGAUAGAUAAUAAUAAGGUAUUUGAGGUAGAUAUGUACAUGAAGGCAGGGUAAAGUGACUAGGCAUCAGGAUAGAUAAUAAUAAGGUAUUUGAGGUAGAUAUGUACAUGAAGGCAGGGUAAAGAGACAUCAGGAUAGAUAAUAAUAAGGUAUUAGAGGUAGAUAUGUACAUGAAGGCAGGGUAAAGUGACAUCAGGAUAGAUAAUAAUAAGGUAUUUGAGGUAGAUAUGUACAUGAAGGCAGGGUAAAGUGACAUUAGGAUAGAUAAUAAUAAGGUAUUUGAGGUAGAUAUGUGGAUAAGAGUCAAAUAAAGAACAGCAUAUGAUUAGUGUGAAAGUGUGUGUCAAAUCAAAUUGUACUGGUCACACACACACGUGUAUAGAAAGUAGUGUGUUUGUGAGUGUGUAUAUAAAGUGCAGUGUGUGGGUGUAGGGUCAGUAGAGAUAGUUUUGGGACCAUUAAGAUGUACUGGGCAAAAUAAGCUAAUCAUGGAC